GACGUAGGGCGCGAGCGUUGUCCGGAUUUAUUGGGCGUAAAGAGCUCGUAGGCGGCUUGUUGCGUCGACCGUGAAAAACCCGGGGCUCAACUUCGGGCUUGCGGUCGAUACGGGCGGGCUAGAGUUCGGUAGGGGAGACUGGAAUUCCUGGUGUAGCGGUGAAAUGCGCAGAUAUCAGGAGGAACACCGAUUGCGAAGGCAGCUCGCUGGGACGUUACUGACGCUGAGACGCGAAAGCGUGGGGAGCAAACAGG
rnacentral:rRNA from 1 species